CACAGGUGUUAUCAAGGGAAAUCAAAGUUUUUGUAACAGCUCGGACAGCGAUAAGCACAUUGCAUAACAGCAACCUCUGUAGAAGGCAUCUAUGAAAAACAUUUGUGUUGCAUAAGUGCAAAACAUGUUGAUUUUACAAGAUUUAUAGAUGACACAAUGAAAUAAAAUAGUGUCAGACAAGAGCUCCUGUUCUCCAGAAGCUUCGCAGGGCUAUUCCAGCGUGACAAUGAUCCAAAGUGUGGUCUGCAGAUAAAAUCAGACGUUGGUUUCUAGAGAAGAAAAAGUGAAACUCUGACCUGGACUAGUGUGUCACCUGCCUCGACUGCAACAGAACACCUCUCCAAAGAAAUUUAUGCAACGCUGGUCUCUCGUGUCAAGUAGGAUUGACUCUGUUGUGUAAAAGAAAGCUGGGCAUCUGAAGUAAGCAAAAGUAAUCAGAGUCUUUCAGCAAUGAAAGAUGAAAUGGUUUCUACUGUGAGGCCUGCAUUUUUAAUAUAACCUAGUAAAUCUUAACUGCUUAGUUCUGGAUAUCAUCAAAUAACAUAUUGUUGAUCUAAGCAGGUGUGCCGUUGCUACAAAUAUAAAUAGGAUCUUUUGCAAUGUAAGUGAUUUUUGCUAAGGGGUGGAUUCACUUCUGAAUACUGGAUGGUGCUAUCUAGCUAGCAAGUUAAAGACAAUGUUCUUAAUACAAGGACAGUUAACAGUGACUUAGGAAUUGAGCACUGGGGCUAACGAUUUUUGGCUUUUGAGUUUAGGCAGUGGUUGGUUUGCCGAACUUAUGAUUGUUGUUUUUUUUAACUGGUUUGAUCAGGAGCAGACAGGGGAGGGGGGAUUUUAAAGGAUGACUGAGGGGGUGUUUAUGCAUAAUCGUAGUGCAUUCAAUUUCUUGUCUUUAAAGAAAAAAAAGUGUCCAACGUGUCAUAUGUCUACAUAGAUUAAGCCUCUGCUUGAAAGGUGUCUCCAACGGUCAAUGGGCAGCUGGAGAAAAAUUUAAAAAGAUGCCCAUAUCCAGGAUCUUAUUCCCAAUAAGAGCCUCUAAAGCAGGGGUGCUCAAUCCCAGUCCUCGAGAGCUACUGCCCUGCAGCUUUUAGAUGCGUCCUUGUUCCAGCACACCUGAAUCAAAUGAAUGGCUCGUUAUCAGGCUUUUGCCAGACUUGAUGGCAUGCCGAAUUGGUAAUCCAACUAUUUGAUUCAGCUGUGUUGGAGUAGGGAUGCAUCUAAAACCUGCAGGACAGUAGCUCUCGAGGACUGGGAUUGGGCACCCCUGCUCUAAAGUAUGUAAAGAAGGGCAGGGAGGACAUUGGUGGAUCUGCAACAUAUUGGUCCUAAAUAGAAUGUUAUAUCUUUAAAGUGAAACUAUUAUGCUUUUCCAUCCAGUUAUCAUUCUUUCUGUUAAAAUUUGAUAUUUAUGCUGUGAAGUUGGUGAAUCCAUUGCUUUUCAGACAGCUGAGUGGUUGCACUGAGGCCAGGUAGCUGGGGUGGCUAGAGCUCAUUAUCUAUGUUGUGUUAAAAGUAUUCUCAAUAAAAGUGAUCUCUCAAACACAGGAAGAUAGACGCUUUAAAACCUAGAGAAAUGAAACCACCAAAAACAAUAAGGUAUAAAUAUAGUGCUGGGGUUAAGAAAAACAUAUUUUUGUAAUGUCACGCACAACUGAUUGCACUACAUUUUCACUAGCAACAUCCUGUUGUUAUCAGGGGGCAAAACAUUUACAUUACUGAAAGUGAGAGAGCUUUGAAGCCCAGCAGUGCAUGUCUCUUAUGGUAGGUUAUGUGAAUGGUGCUGGGAUGGCACUCUUCUUACAUGCUUCAGCACUCCGGCGCACAUAAACAAUGGGGCCGGCUGAAAUUGCUGCGAUCAGAGCCUGAAAGCUGUGAGUGGCAGGAAGCAGCGAGCAGCAGCAGACGCCUCUGACAGCCCUCCAGCUCCAGAGAUGCUGAGAGAGAAAUGGCAGCAUCAGCAUCAGUAGCAGCAGCAGCAGCAUACAGAAACACUGUAUCCAUUCAUCCACAGGGCUGAAAAGCAGCUUCAAACAGACUGUGAAAUUCAUCUCAAGUCCACUGCCUGGAAAGAGAAAGAAAAGAAGGAUGAGGGAGAGCAACUGGCCUCAGCUGGAGUUAUUGAUGUUCAAUUGACUCUGGAACAUCUGCAGGCCCAUUUUGUCUUGUUAAUUAUACAGCACUAAUUUAACUCACACGUUGUUGCUACAGAUAAGAGAGGAGAUGCUUGGUGAACCAUGUGCAACACUGUGCCCUGACUUCUGCUUUACCACAUGCUCAACCUGCCUGAUGAUGACGCUCCCAGCUUUAAACCCUCCAUAUUAUCUACCUACUGAGGGAGAAACGCAGGAUAAAUAUGCUGUCUGCAAUGAGUAUCACCGUGAAGGGAUCUCCUCACUCAGGACAAAGCUGCAGAAAGGCCACUGCAAUCUAAAACCUCUUCCUGCUUCACCCGGCAUCACCGGCAGGUAGUUGGUGCUGUCUCAGAGAGUCAUUUUACAAGCGCCGCUCAAUACACCUCUCUUUGCAUUCGUCUUGAAGAGGCCUUUCCAUUUUUCAAACUGGCAUCCACAUAAAGGCAACUUUCACCCAGCCCUCUGCAAAAGGCCAAAAACCAUACGGGUCACGGUUUAUACUUUAACUGUAUUGCAUGUUGCAACAUAAGCAUGUUGUGCAAAAGAAAGAGGAGCGUUGUGGCGAAAUAGGUCAGGGGUUUCUUUACUUUGUAACACUACACUUGAUGUAAAGGGGGUUGCCGCACAUCUAUGAGUCUCUGUGUGUACGUGUGUGGGGUUGUGCUUGUUUUCCUCUCCAUGUGACCCAUUUGCUGAUCGACCACAGUGUUCCCCACUCUGGUGGUGUUUCCAUGCCAACGCCGCCAGUGGCAAGACAAAAGAUGAGGACUCACUUGGUCUUGAUCAAAGGGAGCACUGUUUCAGUCUGUUGCUCGUGCUGUCUAGUAUGUUCUGAAACUGACUGCAUACCUAGAGAUGUAAAAAAGGAUAUAUCACAGAACAGUGAUUUCCAUUCUUUUUCAUCAGCUUCCCACCUAGAGCGCUGUCAGCUGAUCUACAGCACCACUACUUCAGCACCUCCACUAAUGCUCCACAUUUAUUAUAAUUGAAUGUUAUUUUUACCCCAUUAUUUUGAAUUUUUUUCAAUACUUUUUUUUUAAAUGACAUGCACCACUUGGCAAUUCAGUUCAGCCACACAUUAAAUGCUAAAAGCUAGAUGUUUCGGCUAUCUACUGUGCAGUAUUUUAGUGUUUGUCCAUUGUGCAAACACUGAAAAGUUCAAAAUAUUCAACAAAACACAUUCAGCUAUUUAUUCUUACUUUUAGCUUGCAUAAAAUGCUUGUAUGUAUCAGUGUAGUUCAACAAUGUUUCGUGUUUUUCAACUAUUUCUUAAUUAUCACUCCGUUUAGAAACCCAUCACAGUUAUGAGCUGUCAAGUUCACAUUUAUUCAAAAUAAAUGGAAAAAAC
ensembl:lncRNA